CUCAUAACCCAAACAAAAAUUGAAUCAAAUCAUUGAGUUGGACUAAACCGGUUCGAAUUGAACCGGAAUAGUUUAGAAGCCCAGAUUUUUUUUUUCUUUCUUUCUUUCCUCUUCUUCUUCUUUCUUUCUUCUUCUUUCUGGGUACAGCGACAGUCCCGUCGCCAACCUCCUCCUCUCCUUCUUUCUCUUGUUUUUCCGAUCACCGGAGACGAGUGGGAUGAAGUUCAUUGCGCCGCCUUCUCUCUGCCGUCCCCAGUCAGCCCCUCCUCCCUCUGUUUCCAUUCAAGCGAAUCGCAGCUGCGCCACCAGCCUCCAGCCACUGCUCAACGUCGAUCCUCUGCUCGCUCGCGACUCCGGCGAGAGCUGCAAGGUAGGCGAGCUACAGUCCCUUUUCGACGGUCAACGACGACAUCAACAGUGGCACUUGGCUCCUGUCGAGCCCGCUCCGGUCGAAAGAAGGCUGAUCCCGCGCAACUAACACCAAAAAUGGACUCCUGACAGAAAACCGAGCCAGAUGGUGUGAAGAGCUCCUGAUUCUGAGCAGUCACGUUUUUACGGCCACCGUGGACGGCGGCUGCGACGGCAGUAUGGCGAUCGGCCGCGAGCCUCUGGUGAGGCACCAUGAGACAGAUUCUUCCUCUCUUGGAGUCUGGCAUCAUCCCCGAAUUUCGAUCGGAAGUAGAUUCUUCUAUAUCCUGGUUAAAGCUCUGUUCCUUUCACCACAGAGCUAGGAAAGAACUUUCUAAUUUCAGAAAUUAAUUCAUUAAUUAGUUAUAUGUACGAGGACUUAUUGGUAUUUAUCUGUUAGUAAACUCCGCAGUUGUAGGUUUUAUGUACCUCUAAUUGUGUAUUAACAUAGGUGAAAUGGUUUUAUGAGCCCAUAUUAUAAAUCUAAUGUAUUAUAAAUUGGGCACGGACUAUGAAAUGUGUAAAAUGUUGAAUUUGGGGUAGAAAUAUAAUAUAAUUAUGAGGUUUAUUGAGUAUGGUAA